rnacentral:rRNA from 1 species
AUGGCGGAGGCGACGCUGGAGGGGAGCGAGCCGGUGGAUCUGUCCAAGCACCCCUCCGGCAUCAUCCCCACGCUCCAGAAUAUCGUGUCAACUGUCAAUUUGGAUUGUAAGUUAGACCUCAAAGCAAUAGCUCUGCAAGCACGUAACGCAGAAUAUAAUCCAAAGCGUUUUGCUGCAGUUAUCAUGAGAAUAAGAGAACCAAAAACUACAGCACUGAUAUUCGCGUCGGGUAAAAUGGUAUGUACUGGAGCAAAGAGCGAACAACAAUCCAAGCUUGCAGCAAGAAAGUAUGCUCGUAUCAUUCAGAAACUUGGCUUUCCAGCUAAAUUCAAGGAUUUUAAGAUUCAGAAUAUCGUUGGCUCCUGUGAUGUUAAAUUUCCAAUUAGACUGGAGGGCCUUGCAUAUUCUCAUGGUGCUUUCUCAAGUUAUGAGCCGGAACUUUUUCCUGGUCUGAUCUAUCGAAUGAAGCAACCGAAGAUUGUUCUUCUGAUUUUUGUUUCAGGCAAGAUUGUCUUGACCGGGGCAAAGGUGAGAGAAGAGACAUACACUGCCUUUGAAAAUAUAUAUCCUGUACUCACAGAGUUCAGAAAAGUUCAGCAAUGA